rnacentral:rRNA from 1 species
GACGAACGCUGGCGGCGUGCUUAACACAUGCAAGUCGAACGGCAAGGCCCUGCUUUUGUGGGGUGCUCGAGUGGCGAACGGGUGAGUAACACGUGAGUAACCUGCCCUUUACUUUGGGAUAACUUCAGGAAACUGGGGCUAAUACCGGAUAGGAGCUCCUGCUGCAGGGUGGGGGUUGGAAAGUUUCGGCGGUUGGGGAUGGACGCGCGGCUUAACAGCUUGUUGGUGGGGUAGUGGCUUACCAAGUCAUUGGCGGGUAGCCGGCCUGGGAGGGUGACCGGGCACAUGGGGACUGAGGGACGGACCAGACUGGUACGGGAGGCAGUAGUGGGGAAUAUGGCACAGUGGUCGCAAGUGUGAGGCAGCGACGCUGCGGUCGUGAUGACGGCCUUCUGGGUGAAAACCGCUUUCGCCUGUGACGCAGCGGGAGUGACGGUAAUGGGUAAAGAAGCACCGGCUAACUACGUG